rnacentral:ribozyme from 1 species
CUCUCUUUCUUUCUUUCUUUCUUUCUUUCCUUCUCUCUUUCUUUCUU